AUACGAAGGGUGCGAGCGUUAAGCGGAAUUACUGGGCGUAAAGCGCGCGUAGGCGGUUGGAUAAGUCGGAUGUGAAAGCCCCGGGCUCAACCUGGGAAUUGCAUUCGAAACUGUCCGGCUAGAGUAUGGGAGAGGGAAGCGGAAUUCCACAUGUAGCGGUGAAAUGCGUAGAUAUGUGGAGGAACACCAGUGGCGAAGGCGGCUUCCUGGACCAAUACUGACGCUGAGGUGCGAGAGCGUGGGGAGCAAACAGGAUUAGAAACCCUAGUAGUCC
rnacentral:rRNA from 1 species